rnacentral:rRNA from 1 species
CUCGUCACACUAUCAUUAACUGAAUCCAUAGGUUAAUGAGGCGAACCGGGGGAACUGAAACAUCUAAGUACCCCGAGGAAAAGAAAUCAACCGAGAUUCCCCCAGUAGCGGCGAGCGAACGGGGAGGAGCCCAGAGCCUGAAUCAGCAUGUGUGUUAGUGGAAGCGUCUGGAAAGGCGCGCGAUACAGGGUGACAGCCCCGUACACAAAAGCGCAUGUGCUGUGAGCUCGAUGAGUAGGGCGGGACACGUGGUAUCCUGUCUGAAUAUGGGGGGACCAUCCUCCAAGGCUAAAUACUCCUGACUGACCGAUAGUGAACCAGUACCGUGAGGGAAAGGCGAAAAGAACCCCGGCGAGGGGAGUGAAAAAGAACCUGAAACCGUGUACGUACAAGCAGUGGGAGCACCCUUUGGGUGUGACUGCGUA